GACGAACGCUGGCGGCGUGCCUAAUACAUGCAAGUCGAACGCAGUGGGGACGGGUGAGUAACACGUGGGUAACCUCCCAUCAGACGGGAUAACACUUGGAAACAGGUGCUAAACCGAUACUGUUUGAUGGACCCGCGGUGCAUUAGCUAGUUGGUGAGGUAACGGCUCACCAAGGCCACGAGGCAUAGCCGGGCUGAGAGGGUGAUCGGCCACACUGGGACUGAGACACGGCCCAGACUCCUACGGGAGGCAGCAGUAGGGAAUCUUCGGCAAGGGACGAAAGUCUGACCGAGCAACGCCGCGUGAGUGAAGAAGGUUUUCGGAUCGUAAAACACUGUUGUUAGAGAAGCGGUAGCUAAAGAGAAAGCAACGGCUAACUACGUGCCAGCAGCCGCGGGAAUAG
rnacentral:rRNA from 1 species